rnacentral:rRNA from 1 species
AGAGUUUGAUCAUGGCUCAGAACGUACGCUGGCGGCACGCCUAACACAUGCAAGUCGAACGAAGUAGCAAUACUUAGUGGCAGACGGGUGAGUAACAUGUAGGUAUCUGCCCUUUGGCCUGGAAUAACACGAGGAAACUUGUGCUAAUACCGGAUAAGUCUUUACGGAGAAAGCUUUAUGCACCAUUGGAUGAGCCUGCACUUGAUUAGUUUGUUGGUAGGGUAAUGGCCUACCAAGACUGUGAUCAAUAGCUGAUUUGAGAGGAUGAUCAGCCACAUUGGGACUGAGACACGGCCCAAACUCCUACGGGAGGCAGCAGUGGGGAAUCUUGCACAAUGGAGGAAACUCUGAUGCAGCGAUGCCGCGUGAGUGAAGAAGGCCCUUGGGUUGUAAAGCUCUUUCGUCGGGGAAGAAAAUGACUGUACCCGAAUAAGAAGGUCCGGCUAACUUCGUGCCAGCAGCCGCGGUAAUACGAAGGGACCUAGCGUAGUUCGGAAUUACUGGGCUUAAAGAGUUCGUAGGUGGUUGAAAUAGUUGGUGGUGAAAUCCCAGAGCUUAACUCUGGAACUGCCAUCAAAACUUUUCAGCUAGAGUAUGAUAGAGGAAAGCAGAAUUUCUAGUGUAGAGGUGAAAUUCGUAGAUAUUAGAAAGAAUACCAAAUGCGAAGGCAGCUUUCUGGAUCAUUACUGACACUGAGGAACGAAAGCAUGGGUAGCGAAGAGGAUUAGAUACCCUCGUAGUCCAUGCCGUAAACGAUGUGUGUUAGACGUUGGAAAUUUAUUUUCAGUGUCGCAGGGAAACCGAUAAACACACCGCCUGGGGAGUACGACCGCAAGGUUAAAACUCAAAUGAAUUGACGGGGACCCGCACAAGUAGUGGAGCAUGUGGUUUAAUUCGAAGAUACGCGCAGAACCUUACCAACACUUGACAUGUUCGUCGCGACUCUAAGAGAUUAGAGUCUUCGGUUCGGCCGGACGAAACACAGGUGCUGCAUGGCUGUCGUCAGCUCGUGUCGUGAGAUGUUGGGUUAAGUCCCGCAACGAGCGCAACCCUCACUUUUAGUUGCCAUCAUUAAGUUGGGCACUCUGAAAGAACUGCCAGUGAUAAGCUGGAGGAAGGUGGGGAUGACGUCAAGUCCUCAUGGCCCUUACGUGUUGGGCUACACACGUGCUACAAUGGUAUCUACAACAGGAAGCAAGACUGCGAAGUUAAGCAAAUCCCUAAAAGAUACCUCAGUUCGGAUUGCACUCUGCAACUCGAGUGCAUGAAGCUGGAAUUACUAGUAAUCGUGGAUCAGCGUGCCACGGUGAAUGCGUUCCCGGGUCUUGUACACACCGCCCGUCACACCAUGGGAGUUGGUUCUACCUUAAGGCAAGGUUUUAAACCCUUGACCACGGUAUAGUCAGCGACUGGGGUGAAGUCGUAACAAGGUA